ACUCUGAAACUGACAAAGUAUCUUGUUUUGUCUUUUUUUUUUUUUUUAGUUUAAGCCUCCAAGGCGAGGCUUGAUCGACACGUGUUUAGUCUGACGUGGAUACUGUAAGAUGCUUCCUCGGUGACUUCUCCAUGACUCGAAUUCGGCGCUUCUCCACGUUUCCAUCAUAUUUUCUUUUUUUGUUUCCCUAUUUGUUCUUUGAAUCCUCGAAAUAUUUUCUAAUCAUCAAUUAUAGCCUCUAUCUUUUGGAAUCUUAAUUUAUACCCAUUUGAUCAUUCGAUGAAAAGUUUCUUAUCGAAUGUUUUUGACAGAUUUUUAUGGUUCAGUAGUUUUACAAGGUUAUAAAUAUUUACUUUGCUAAACGUUUUACAUGUUUGAGAUCCUAACAUUAGUUCCAUAUUGUAAAUAUCAAACAUGUAUAAAUGUUCGAAUCGAAAACAUGUACAUUAGCUGUUAUUAUUUUGUCUCAAUAAAUUUUGAAUCUGGAAGAAUUGAUAACAUCCUAUAAAUGUGGUGACAAUAUGCAAAGAUUGAAAACAAAUUUCUCUCUGUUUAUAGAUUCUAUGGUAGCAUAUAAUAUAAAUAUAUAAUAUGAUACUAAUAGAAUAUUGAAUUUCUUCUUUUCUUUUCAAAAAUAGAAUAUUGAAUUUCAUCUUGAUAUUUUUUGAUAAGCUAUAGGAUGUUUACACACGUCCUCUUUGGUUAAAGAGAGCAGUUCUAAUCUCACCAAGCUUGGAACAGCUAUAAAGCACGACAAUCGAACUAUACUACGACACGUUGCAGUUUGAAGCUGUCAUGAAACAGACCUACCACUAGUACCGCCACGUGACGGUCAUACCCAAAGAAACGAAACUUGUAAGAAGAGAUCACCGGCACGAACCUAACACAUCGCAAAUUCGACCGGUCUCGCUAGACACGUUAUGCAUGUUUUUUGUUCGUUUAAUGAAUGACGACUCUUCACUUUCGUUUUUGUAUUAGUCAAUAAUUAUAAGAGUUGGCCAG